rnacentral:sRNA from 1 species
UAACAAGAUCAUGCUAUACGGCGUUACG